GGGCAGUGUGCUCCAGUGCAAUGAUAGCUGACACACGAUUCCUCAUCAGAGUACAGGGCAGGCAGCCAGCAAUAUGCAUUAGGUAUAUGCCUUGCUAAAUGGAAUGUUGAUAGGCUUAUUAUAUUUUCAAUUGUAUAUUGAGUUCUUUUGUGCUUGUAUGCAUGGAUAUAUGUGUAUGUGUGUGUACCCACAAAUGCCUUCAGUUGUGAAUAGCAAUGGACACUGUGAGGGAGCCAGUUCUCUGUGUCCACCAUGUAGGUCUUAAAAUUGAACUCAAGUCUGACAGCAGCAUCCUUUAUCACUGAGCCAUUUAGCCUACUUGAAACAUUAGUCUUCUGCCAGAGUGGCUGGCAUACAGUAAGACAAUACUAACAGAGUGCUUAGCAUGUACUACCCACAGUGCUGACCAGAUGCUUGCCAUACACAAAGAUCUAUGCUUAAAGAGUACUUGGCACAGAAAGACCAGUUCUAGUGGGGCUCAACACAGUGACAAUAAUAAUAGGAAAUGUUUGUCAUGAGGGAAAAAUACUCCUAACAGUGUUUGGCACAUCCUACAAAAUUGCUAAGAGAACAAACACGUGACACAUGCUUAACUCAGAAUUCUAGUAGACUUUUAUAAAUAAAUAAAUAUAGGUAUAAAUGUAUAUAAUCAAUAAAUAUAUAAAUAAAUGUAUGUAUCUAUACUGCUGAUAUUUAGUCUUUCAAAGCUGGAGCUGUGAUGUUGAAUCACCACUCCAUCCUUCUUCCACCGUGGGCUUAUUUCAACUGUCUGUGGAUGAGACAAGAAAGAGAAGGAAGAGAAAUGCGAGUGAGUUGCCACCACCUACUCAGCGCUCUGUUUCCACCUGUCCUUCACAGUCUGCAUGCUCUCCUUCCACCCAGCUUCAGAGCUCUGCCCCACAAGCACACCCUCUUCUAGAGCAUGGGCCUGCCUCACGAGAGGAAGUAAUGGCCUACACUUUGAGUGAUAACCUGGGAUUUAGAAGCCCAUAGCAUCCUAGCUAGGGAAGGUCUCCAAACUACCCAGCACUGCAGUAAAGGAAGCAUGACAUAUUACAUACGGUUCAGUCUUGCACCACAAAGGACUAGAAGUGGAUGAUUAGGUAGGGUCUAAUACCAUAUGGGAAACGUGUGUGUUCUGGGUGUUGUGAGAUGUGUCAGAGGACCAUUUACCAGUUCAGUAAUCAUCAUCUUCUUCCUCUUCAGGAUCACUAAUCUCUG
rnacentral:lncRNA from 1 species